UGCCCUGUACACACGGAUAACAUACCGAAAGGUAUGCUAAUACGGGAUAACAUAAGAAAUUCGCAUGUUUUUCUUAUCAAAGCUCCGGCGGUACAGGAUGGACCCGCGUCUGAUUAGCUAGUUGGUGAGGUAACGGCUCACCAAGGCGACGAUCAGUAGCCGACCUGAGAGGGUGAUCGGCCACAUUGGAACUGAGACACGGUCCAAACUCCUACGGGAGGCAGCAGUGGGGAAUAUUGCACAAUGGGCGAAAGCCUGAUGCAGCAACGCCGCGUGAGCGAUGAAGGCCUUCGGGUCGUAAAGCUCUGUCCUCAAGGAAGAUAAUGACGGUACUUGAGGAGGAAGCCCCGGCUAACUACGUGCCAGCAGCCGCGGUAAUACGUAGGGGGCUAGCGUUAUCCGGAUUUACUGGGCGUAAAGGGUGCGUAGGCGGUCUUUUAAGUCAGGAGUGAAAGGCUACGGCUCAACCGUAGUAAGCUCUUGAAACUGGAGGACUUGAGUGCAGGAGAGGAGAGUGGAAUUCCUAGUGUAGCGGUGAAAUGCGUAGAUAUUAGGAGGAACACCAGUAGCGAAGGCGGCUCUCUGGACUGUAACUGACGCUGAGGCACGAAAGCGUGGGGAGCAAACAGGAUUAGAUACCCUGGUAGUCCACGCCGUAAACGAUGAGUACUAGGUGUCGGGGGUUACCCCCCUCGGUGCCGCAG
rnacentral:rRNA from 1 species